rnacentral:misc_RNA from 1 species
GAAAGGAAGUGUCCACACGCACACGCCAUCUCUCUGCGCUGUCAUUGAUAUGGUGCUGUGCCCCCUUCCCCCUUCCCUCCCUCCCCUUUUAUCUCGCCUUUCGCCGCCUCUCCAUAUUGUCUUCUUUUGUUGGUAUAUACGUUUUCUAGCGUUUAGGUAGCGGGGAAAGAUAUCGAACAGGCAAAAUACAAAAGCUGUGAUAGACAAGCGGGAGCGCAAGGAAAGAAAAGAAGUAGUGAGUCACUUUGAGAAAGAGGUGCGCACACCUGCGGCUUCCACAUACCGAGACCCCGAUCCAACGAAGAUUCCGAAUCACGCGACAGCUCCUUUGCGUGCCGUCGUGGUAGCUUGUCUUUUCACCUCGCGGUGGCUGCUCUCUCUCUUCUUCGUUUCUUUCCUCUGUUUCCUCUGCUCUCGUUUCCUUCCUCAUUCUCUAUUUCUCUCUGUUGUUCUCUGUCGACCUCUUCGCGUCGGAUUCCUGUAGAAAGGCUUCUUCUAAAUAGAGCAGGCCAGGCUUAAAAGUCCUAGAGGGGCGCUGCUACUGCCGCCGCGUCUUCUCUCUUUCCUUCUUGUCUUCUGUGCGGUCUUCCCGUGAGUGUGUGCGUCUGUGAUUUGCGCCUUUUUCAUUGUUGUAGUGGCCGCCUUCGUUGUUUUUUUUUCUUUCGUGCACGCUUUCAGCACUCCUCUCUCGCGUGGGUGCUGUGAGUGUUGGUAAGCGUGUGCCGCGCGGCUCUCUUCACCGUUUCGUCCCCCUGUCCAUGUUUAAUCCAUACGAUCCACGGAGGGUCUUCAUCGAUCCGAACCCGAGUAGCGCCUCUAUCCCUUUUCCGUACCCUUCUGCCACGGACUCUGCCCAGGUGCCACAUGGGCCCCGGCCUGAGGGCAACAUUUUAUAUCUGACGCCGCCUUAUCCCUCACAGGUGUCCGGGACCCCAUCGGCUUCCAAUAGCACAACAGAGUUCUCCAAUUCGCAGCUGCUGGGUAUUCACUCGGCGAACCACAAGACCGGCGAGACAUCCACCGCGGCUACCAUCGGCUCCCCAGCCACCACCGCCGCGUCCGUUUCCCUUGUGAACUUAAUGCAGCCCCCACAGCCGCCGUCUAACGUCUCGUACGAUCCUGCUCGAAUGAGCAGUAGCACAGCGACGCCUUUCUCACGAUACCCCGCAACGCAGCCAGGGUUCUCGCAGCCCAACACACCCCUGCAGGCCACGCAGCCACAGAUGCUACAGCAAUCAUUCGUGCUGCAGGCCCACUCUCCCUCGCAACCCUUUACCGCGUCGAGCGCAGCAGCCACCCCGCCAGCGAGGCAGAGGCUCAUGCUCAUCUCUGGUCCCGCCCCGGCGACGUCGAUGAGCCCCUUCUACCCGUAUCAGGCCGCGGCAGGCACUGCCGCGGCCAUGCAGAGCGGCUCUUCCCAUCAACCGCCCUCGGCGACUACCCAGCUUAUUUCACCUCUGCAACUCACCUCGCCCACCUCACAAGGACACUCCGGGAGUGGAAACUUCGCAUACGUGGUGGAGUCCGGCUCACCUGCUCCGCUUCUCGCGUAUUCGGUGUCUCCGCCGUCCUUUGUCCGCGUCGCCAGCCAGCCCUGGCCGCCUGCCGCGGCCGUGCCCAUGCUAUCGAGCGCCUCGGGAACGCCGACGAUGGCACCGCGUGAGAGCACCUUGGGUGUCGACGCGGCCUCGCUACAGUCUCCAACGCAGCAGCCCUUUGCCACAUCGGCCGCCAUGGGAUCACAGAGUCACUGCCCCGACUCCUUUCUUGCCUCCCCGGAAGCGGCGCCAACUAGCACGUCGCCCGCGCGCGCCGGGGGCACAACAGCGGCAGCGGGCGGCUCGCCAGACGGCAUGCAGCCUGCGGCCCUUGGUGUACGAAAUUUCUCUGCACCGGAGCCUGUAGGAAGCUGCCUGUUACCGAACGUUCCCCUCGACCCCAUCAUCCCACCACUAGCCCUGCCUUGCCCGCGGUGGGGCAAGCUUCCGCGCUCGUAGUCGGACGUGACGUAACGUGCGGCACGCCACUGCAGCGAAGGUGGUGAGCUAGUGCUUUCCGCAGGGACCGAAACGCUGCUUGUUAUUCCUCUUCUCCUUUCGGCAAGGCGCUCGGCUUGUAGUCGUCUGCAGAAUGGAAGGAGUCGGUGGUUGUGUGCGCUUGCUGCGCUGAACCUUACGUUUUAGAUGAACCCACGAACCCCUUUGUCUGCACUCUUCCACCUCUUUUUUUUUGAUUUAACAGGGAUUUUUGUUUUUCUUCCUUUACGCGUUUGCUGUGUUGGCCGUAUGCUCGUCUGUGUUUGUGUGCGUGUUGCGUUUCUUCGCCACAGUUGUACCGCCUGCCGCUUCCCCCCACUACUCUUCCCCUCCCCCCACUCGCUCACCCAUUCGCUGCUUUUUUUUUGCUAACUCCCCCCUUUUCCCAUCACAUGGCGAGCGGCGGCUCAUGUAGGCAUGAGUGUACGUUAGCGCGCACCCUUCGUGUUGAGAUAUGCUCCCCACCUGUUUCUCUCUUCUUUUUCCUUUCUCUGGUGUACCUUCUUUUUUUUAGCACCUUUCCCCUUUCCUCUCGUUGUGCUGCUGUGUAGAUGUAUACAUAUAUGUGUGCCUGUGCGUUUUCUUUGUCCUUUUCGAUUGCACUACCCCCCCCCCCCCCCCGUGAGAGUUCCGUCUUCCUCCCUUGCAUGCUUUUCGUGUCUGUUUGGGUUUUCGUUUGUGUGCGUGUGUGGGCGCUGUUUGUUUUAGUUUCACUGCCUCGCGCUGCGUCACAUCCUCUUUUGGUUUCUCGUUGAACUAUGUUUCAUGUUCGCCUCAGGGGAGGAGUGGAAGGGGAGGGGGAAGCCCUUGCCAACCCUUUCCCCCUUCUCCUACUCCCUCCUCUCUGCUUUGUAUGCCAUGUCGUCGUACACUCUUGUUCACCUCUCUCCCUCCUUCUCUUCCUCCCUUCCCCUACGCCAACAAGAUCUUUUUUCGCUUCUUUUUACUUUUCUUCCGCAUUCCUCUUCUGCCACUCUCCCACUUCCCUCUUUCACCGUGCAUUCCGCGGAUUCGUCACCGUUUUCUUUGACCUUUCUCCUCCCUCUUUUUCUUUCGAUACCGUUACCGUUGGUUCCACAUGGUGAUUUUGCUGCGCUGUAUCUCCUCCGCCCCCUGUCAGGGUUAUGGUGCAUGUUUUUUGUUACGUGUGCGUGUGUGCAUCUGUGCUGCUCGCUCUGCUGGCAUUAUUGCCGCUCUCUGUCCGCCACAUGGUCCGCCUUGUGUGUGUGUGUGCGUUUUGGGCUGUUUCUUUUUGUGCCUCACCUUGCGCCCUCUUUCUUUGUUCUUGUCGACACCGCCUCUUUCCCUUUUUUUGUUUGUGCCUUCCUACUGCUUCGCUGCAGAUCGCCUUCUUUUCUUUAGUGUGGCAGUGCCGGACGUCGAGGGGCUGCAGAGGGGCGAAGAAGGGUGAGAGAGGGAAGAGGGGAAGAUGUACAGCUUCCCCCUCCAUCCCACCUCGAAGCACGCUAUCUUUCUCCACGAUGCGACGCCUAUGCUGCCAACCGCCCAUCCGUCGUCCGCUACGCCGCCCAACGUUUUCUUUGGCGUGCGCACCCUCUCAACAAGCACCUACUGGCCCCUUCAUCCACCCACUCUCUCAUAGACACAGGCAAGGCAGCGCACGCAGAGAGGCACCUGAGUGCUUUGAUCGUUAAUCGCUGUUUUGCUGUCUUCUAGUUUACAUCACGAUGUACGUACCAGAAUGACACCACUCCAUAAGCAGAAUAUCACUUUCUUCUCCGUGUACGGCUGUCUCCUCACGCACUGCAGCACUCUCGUCUCUUUUUCGUCGGUUUCCAUUUCUUGUACUCGAUGAUGGGUUGCUCGUUUGUCGUUCUCCUCUACAUGACCAACCCCCUGAUGGCGGGGGGACACCUCAGCGUGGUAUCAGGGUCCAGUACCCACUCUGUGUGGGGAAGCCAAGCAGCCCCCCUAUCCCGGUCAAUGCAUAACCACUUCCGGUGGUGGCAGGACCAUGUACCUGCGACGUGGGGGGGGGGAGAUUAGGGCGAUGCAUCGCUGCUAAUGUCGCCUUUGUGGUCCUGGGCGACUUUGCGUCGGAGCCACCCGCGACAGUGACCACGCUUGUACUACUCACAUGAUAGGCGACGUGCCCGCAUGACGGGAGCGUAUCUCACGCGGGCCUCACUGCCUGAUGGCGGAGGUAGCCUGCGCGACCGCGCGGAGGAUGCACCAGGUGACGAUCUGCAUGAUGGGAGCUACUGUGCGGCGAUCUUCGGUGCAGGGCGAAUAGUAUUCGUUGCAGGGAUGACUGGGUCUGCAUUCCUGUAACGCGAGUGUCUACCGCUGCAUUGCACCACACGAUGGGGCCUGCGGCAGGCCGUGGGGCGGGUUGAGUGGAAUUUCACUCAUGUUGUACGGCAGAGAGAGAGAUGGACACGCUGGUGGUAAGAGGUAAAAAAAAUGACUGAAUUCGUGAUUGCUUCACUUCUUCACAGUUUCUUUUUUUUGUUGUUGCUGUUUCCUUUUUGUUUUGUUGUCGCGAUAACAAGAGGCGUGUGCGUGUUCUUUAGAUACAGGAAAGGACGUGCACUCGUUCGUGGUUGUCAUAAACUGGCAUCCGUCAGUGCGCGAGAGGGCGCAGAACAGCUGAGGGAAACCACGUUUGGACGAGCAAGGGACGGGUAGCUGGAUCCGACUCUGAGAGAAGCGGUAAAGAGGCGGGUUCUUUAUAAAAGGUGCCAGCAAGGAAGAAAGUGCGCGGCUGUCGACUUGAACAUUUUCGCGUCACAUUUCGAAUACAAGACUGACGCUGCAGCUUUGGCUGACAAUCACCUCCUUUCUAAGUUCCCUUUUUUGCUCCACUGGCGUGCAGCCGCUUAGCUAAUGCAAGCGCAGCUCUUUGCUACGAUGCCUGCCACUAUUUUCGUUUUUCUUCUGUUUUCUCCCCCGCUCUCUAGGAUCCCUCCUUUGCUUUAUUCUUGGGUCGUUGGGUGUUUUCCGCACAGUCAUAUGCCACUAGAACCACCACUUAAGUCAAAACGUUCACAUGUCCUUUGCGCUGCUGCGUGACGGGAGCCCUUCACCUCUCUUCCAGGCACCCUGCCUUUUCUUUCUUGGUGGCUACGCUGUGUGACAGGAAGGUCUUCUUUCUUCCGCCAUGCAAAGACACCCCUCCACCACCCCUCAUACACACACCACACAUACAUACGCGCGCUUCUGCAUAGGUGAACCAAGCAUCACAAUGAUGGGCAAGAAGUCGAGGUGACAAAACAGGAGGACAAUAGCACAAGAGCACAACGCCGUGUCAAUUACGAGGAGGGAGAGAUCUUGCAAGGGAAGAGAAGGACUAAAGCAGCUGCUCUUUUUCUUGUGUGUGUGUGUGCGUGUGCGUGUGAGUUAUUUUGUGUCGGUGUUUAGGCACGUUUGCUUUUUGGAGCGCUGCUCUUCUUCUUUCGUUUUGUGUUGUCCCUCCCCUCCCCUCCCUCGGUGACCUUUGCGAGGGUAUCUCCUUCCCUGCCUUGUAAUUUUGUUUUUCGUCUCUUCCGCUCCUUUGCUUUCUUGUCUGCCUCUCUCCAUAUACGCCUGUGUGCCGCGCCCAUCACCCGUGGAGCCUUCUUCUGAACAUGUGUGGUUCUUCUCACUCAUGGAUUUCUCCGUUGUUUUUUUUUCUCUUUUUUUUUCGUUUCGCUCCCUCAGUCGAAUCGACCUUGUACCUUAUUCCUCUGCUGUAUUUUUCAUGUCUGCACAACUUGUCGUGCGUUGAAUAUCUUCCUCUGAUCUCCCUGUCUUCGCCUCUCAGUAAACUGGGCCGCUUUUUCGUGUCUGUGUGAGCGUCUCAUUCGCUCAUGAGACUGCCGGCCCAAAGGCUGCGUGUGUGUGUGUGUGUGUGCAUGUCUGUGGAUAGCGCUGUGCUGACAAAGCUCCUUCUGAUCCUACCUUCUUGUGAUCCUGUGACUCUGCGGGCGGGGGGAGAGUCAUCCACCGCUGACAAGACACGACGACACGCAUAUAUCCACGGGAAGAGGGUCUCUAAACCUUUCCACCCUCCUAAGUUUCACUAAUACAGCGUGGGCCCCCCCCCCUCGCUCGCUUGCACGAGUGCUGCGUGCACGUAGGUAAGACGUAAUGCUUUUUUUUUAAGUGCGUGUGUACUCCUCACGAUACGUCUGUUUCGUCUGUUCUCGUGUGUGUGUGUUCUUGUUUCUCCAUUGGGUUAAGUUUGAUUUUUGCUGCCUCACUGCCGUCCUGCGCAUAUUCAGUUUUACAACCGAAGAGGAAAAACAGAAAGGAGUAGCUGAGCCUAUGAAGGCAAGGGCGACGCUGCUCUUUUUCUUUGCCUCUAUCCCCCCCUCAUUUUCGUUUUUCAGCUUAUCUAUUAACCAGUGUCCCUGCUUCAUUUUUUCUUUUUUUCGUUCCUCCACGGCUGUCGGCGCACGCCGCUGUACCGGCUAUUUCACCCAAACCCCUUCUCAUUUUGCUCUCACUCCUUUCCUUCAAUGUGCACCGCUCGAUGGCUCCUGCGACGAGGUCGUGCACCGGGAUCUACUUAUCGGCAUAUUCGGAAGCACAAACGUGCACCCACACGUUUGUGGCCCGCGCAUGCACAUCGAGGAGGGAGAGCAUCCAUAUGAAUGAUAGUGCGGCACGGUUUGUAUGUGCGUGUGUGUCUGAGUUUCUGUGGAUGUCAAGGGAGGGGUUGUAAGUACCCACCGGCACCUUGUCUUUGUGCUGAAGGUCACCUGGCGGCUCAUUCACCUGUUACACUCCCCCUCUCUCUGCCCCUUAAUCACCCGCUGCGUUCCUUUUUCUCGCUUGACGGCAGCCGUCGACUACUGGAGCGGCUGACAGUGAUUUCCUUCCUCGUUUUGUAUGUGCGCUAUGUCUUUCCUUCGUUGGAUUCUGUAUUUGUCUCUUUUUCCUUUGGUUGGCGUGGUGUGGUGGAGCUCUUUGUUUGUUUUCCUCUAAUGAGCUUUAAACCGAUUACGGAUCGGCGUUUAUUUGUUCUUGUGCUCGUGUGGGCGUGUGGGCGUGGGAGCGAGUGAUCGCGUGCUGAAGAGGUCAACGAAAAAAAUCCUUCUCUGCACCACCGCUUCCUCAUCCUUCGCCGCACCCCCUUCCCUCUUUGAUUUCUAUGCGUGCGCCUCUCGCUGCUAACGAUGUGUCGCUGCUCUCGUCUUUCACCUCCGUCUCUCGCCUUCGUUUCUUUUCCCUACCCCCUCCCCCUCCCCCGUCUCUCUCGUACCCGGAUGCGCUUCUCUAACUCUCGCCUAUAUAUGGCCUUCUUGUCUCGGCCAUCUAUUCGCCCUCACGCACCUUUUUCUUGCCAGCAUUACUGCCUUUGCAUCUCACGCACACGCGGGAGCACAGACGAUUCCGUUCACUGGCGUCUAUUUUUUUUUGUUCUUGUCUUUUCUGUCUCUUGUCACACACACACACACACAAACGCUCUCCCUUUUGAUUCUUGCCCUAGAGAGGGGAGGACGCUGUUGGAGGUGCUACGCUGCGCAUAUAGCAGAGAGCAGAAGAACACACAUAUGCACUUAGUUAUACACAAGAAGACAAAAAAGGGCGUCUACAGUCCUUGUGACUCGUGCUCCCACUUACCUCCUCUUUUUCUCUCCUUUGCCCUUGUGUGCGGUGCUGCUGCAUCGGCUGCUCGUUGUGAACCCUCUUGCAUCCCCCCUCACCCCUCUCUCGUCUGUGCGUCUUUUUUCUUUGCCUGCUUGUCAUGUUCCCUUGUAAGCCAUCUAUCGGUUAUUUUUCCGUUUGUCUGCGUGCCAACGCCUCUCACUGUUUCAAUGGAUUAGGCUGCCUCUGUUGUACAACCAUAUCGAUACAUUUUAUUUGCUCGGUUCUUCUUUUUCGCUCUCUUUACGGCGAUGAUGUGCGCUGCUGCUGCUGCUGCCCGUAGUUGGUGCAGCGUGCGGAGGUCGAUUGUGUACUUGUCUCUGUGUAUGCAUGUGGUGGGUGUGCUUGUGUGUGUGUGGCUGCAUUGCAGGAGAUUACAGAAGAAUGCGCAAUUUCUUAGGGACAUGGAGGAGUGUUGCAGUCGGAGGAAAGCGCGUGCAACGCCCGCGCAUGUGGAGCAGGAGGAAGAGAGUUAGCUAGUGCGGCAGCCAGAACGUAUGGACAGUUGAAGCGAAUAUUCCCAGACGCCGCCGAUUCCAUUCGUGCCUACAGAUGCUUCCGUUUUGUCAUUUUUUUUCUUCGUUUGAUCUCCUGUCACGUUGCGGCUCUCUUCGGUUGCACCCGCGCCACUUCUUUUUCCAUCUUGUCCCUUGUCGUCUCCUCAUUCCACUUCCUGCACGUGUCUCUUCGCUCUCUCGCACGCAUGGCCUUCCCUUUCUACACUCGGUCAGUGCUCGCCUACCCUCGAUCUCGAUCACCAUCACACAGCGGUGGCCACCGCCAUCAUCUGCACGCGUGUCUUCUUCACCACCGUGGGCGCGCCUGUGUGUGCCUUGUUUUCAGUGUUCUUUUCCACAAGUGAGCUCAUCUGUAUGAUUUUCUCCGCCCUUCUUUUUCCACCUCGUCUGGUCUGCUGGCUCUCGUGCGCUCUGAUUAUUUUGCUCUCCUGGUACUGACUCUUCUUUUUACCGAGAGGAUUCAGGUGCUGCUCUCUGAGCGCAUAUGUAGGAUGUACACGUGUGUGUUUGUGCGUGUGGGAUGCAUCCGUCGCGUCGCAUCAUCGCUCUUCAUACCUCUACUCUCGUUGCUUUCUUAGCCUCUCGCACUGUCGUGGAUGUGCUUCCCUUCCCUUCCCUUUUGUCUCUGUCGCUCAUCAUUCGUAUGACUCUAUCAUUUUGCGUCUCUUUUUCUUUUCGCGUGUGCGUGUGCGUGCUUCACGCUUGUUGAGUGUGCCCCUCUUUUCUUUUUCUCCUUUCUCAAGCCCCUUUUAGUUUACUCUGCCGCCCCUUCCCCUACCCUACUCUCCCCUCCUGUGCUGCUCGCUAAGGCACACGCAUACACACACCCACACACGGGUUCCUUUCAGCGUCUUUUCUUUCCAUAUCUAUAGAGAGAGAGCGAGGGAGAUAGUAUAUAUUUUCAGGUUGAUGGUGUAAUGUGUCUGGGCGUCGCCUCUCCCCUCUUUUGUUGGCCUUCUCCCCUCCUUUCUUUAUUAUUAUUUCUGUUCUCAUCUGUUUUUCUUUUUGAUUUUGAUUGCUCUCUUCUCCCCUUUCCCUAUUUAGGGCAUUCUUACCUCCCUCCCUUUUUCUGUGCUCGCCCCGGUCGUCACUUGUUUCGCUCUUUGCCCUUCCCCUAUCCAGAUGGCCUCUCUCUGUUUAUGUGUGUGUACGUGUGUUCUGAUUUGCUUGGCUGCCGUUGCGGUUUACCCCCUCCUUUCUCUCUUGCCACGUGUGUCUCUGUUUUCCUCAUCGUGCUCCUCUUUUCUCUCUGGUAUCCUAGGGCAUUUGCUGAUGACGGGAGGACACACCCCUCUGUGCGCGGUACCGCAGGGUCCAGUACACCCCCCACUCUGCGUGGGGAAGCCAAGCAGCCUCUCCCUAUCCCCUGCCAAUGCCGAGCCACCUCUGGUGGUGACAGGGCCAAGUGCCUACGACGUGAGGGGGAGGCCAGAGUGGUUUGCCGCUACGGAUGCCGGCGGUCAGGCUGUGGACAUUGUUGCGCUGGAGAGGCCAGCGACGGUGCGCACGCUUCUGCCAUCCAUGUGAUGGGCGAAGUGUCAGCGCGACUCGUACGUAUCCCACCCCCGGGCCUCGCACUGCCCCACUGGUGUGGGGCGCCGGAGUGCGGGACCGCGAGGAGAUGCACUGGGUGGCGACCAGCACAAGGGUAGCUGCUGUGAGGCGACCUGCGAUGCGGGGAGGGGGGGGCGAGUAGAGUUUUGCGUAGGGGCGGUGCUGGGAUGACGGAGUCGGCGCAUUGCUGUAACACGUGUGUCUAGCGCUGCCUCGCCCCACGCGGAUGGGGCCUGUGACAGGCCCUGAGGUGAGCUGAGUGGGGUUUCACUCUUGUACGCCAGAGAUGGUGAGCACCUUGAAGAAAAUAAAGUGUAUUAUGGUGUCUUUUUGAUAAUUUUCUUCCUGCGAAGGCGAAAGGGCUUGCCUUUGUGUAUGGGCACGUGUGCAUGGUCGCGGGUGAAUAUGUGCAUUCACGUUGCAUCAUCACUGUUUGUUCUUGUUGUCGAUAUUGCCUGCCACGCGCGCGCGUCUUCCAGCCUCCUUCUCUGUGCUUCUGCAGCACGCCUAAGCAUGCGUUUUCCUGGAUGGGCGAUCUGCCAUAUGACGAGUCUAUGAAGCAGCAUAAGCUUCCCAUUGAGGAGGUGGUGCUACCCUGAGGGCCAACGGUGGAUGUAUGUGUGUGUGUGUGUGCGAAACGGGAGGAUCGAGGUCGAGAAAUCGCGCCAGCCGACGUGCAUGCCACAACGCAGGGAUGAAUACGGCGCGGCCACGGUGUCAGCGAGCGUGCAUGCAGAUUGCACGCUUAGGUGGUGUCCUUCCACCCAGCGUCGAUCCCGCACCUUCUUUUACCUUUUCCUUUUGUGUCUCCCCUUGUUUUCUCGUUUUGCGGAUGCCCCUAUCCCUAUCAGAGUGUGAAUGAUGGGGAGAGGGUAAUUGGAGGCGGCAGAAGAUGGGACUGAAUCAACGCAGCGUCGCUGGGCUGUCCUUGCUGCGUAGGGGACGGGCACACACGAUAAAGUAGGACACAUGAAAGGAAACAGAAACUGCUUGGGUGCAUGUGCGGGCUGCUACCGCGGAAAAACAGACGACAAAAA